GAUUUUUCUUCUUCUUCAUCCAUGCUCCAUGCCAUUCUUGAAGCUUCCAUGCCAUUUUCUCUUUAUCCACCAUGAAAUCAAGUUUUCUUCACUUUCCUUUCCAUGUUUUCUUUUCCUUUCUUCUCCAAACUUCUUGAGCACUAAAUUUACAGCCUUUAACCCCAAUUUCUAGCACAUCUAAACCCUAGGAGGAGAAGAAAGAAAAAGAGAGAAAGGAAGAAAAAGCUUGGUUUUGGUGAUUCAAGCAAGGAAAGGUAAGAAUUCUUGUUUUUGGCUUGAGUACUCUUUGGAAAUGAGUUAGUGACUUAGAGAAAUGUCUUGUGGCAACAAAGAUUCGCUGGAUUGGAGAAAAAUUGAUAACAUGUAAGCCAAUAAACCCAUGGGUACAUGAAGGACUCAAAGUGGAAAAGGAAAACGGUAAGCUUAACAUUAUGUUUUAAAGCCUACGGUUAGUUGAAUAUUGUGAGGAAUUAUGGUUGUUGAAAGGAUUUAUUUGCCUAAGCUAGUUGAAAAUUAUUAAGAUUGUAUGGCAUGUUGUUUGAAAGAAAUAAAAAAGGAAUAUUGUAGAUGGAGUGUCACGACCCGGAACCUCCCUCGAGCCAUGACAACUGCCGCGACAUCCCGAUUUACACUCAUUACCCUGAAUGCCAAUUGGAACCCCGCAAGGCUUACGUAUCAGUUUCUUGCCUUUCCUGUGAGCAAUCGCUGUUAAACAUUCUGUUUUAAACAAUUACCAAUCAUUUCCGGCUCAAGUAAAUCAAAAGACAAAAUUAUUUUAAAAGGAUUUAUAGACAAAUAUUACUAUUCAAAAUAUUGAUUAAAAUAUAGCAUUUUUAUAGAAAAUAAUAUUUAUAGAAACACGUUUAAGUAAAAUAAAUUCAUACAUACAAUAAUUUACAAUGUUAUAAUGUACAAUAAUAAUUACAAUGACAAGUGGCCCAUAAAUACGUCAAGUGUUGGAGAUAGUAACCUACUGUUUGUGAGAUAGAGGGGUUAACUGGAAUCCUGGACAAAAUCGGGUAUCUACAAGCUACCAUAAGCCUGAAAUAUUUGGAAAGGAGGUGGGUGAGAUUUUGCAAUCCCAAUGAGUAAACAGACAUUAUUAUAAAUAUCUAAAGACGAGUGAAAUGGAGGCAAGUUUAAAAAACAAAUCACAAACCAUUUCAUAAGGUUUUCAAUUUAUUUCUUAAAUCAUAAAAUAUUUGUAAUUUACCCAAAACAGUUGUUAAGGAUCAUGACUUUUAUUAUAAACAGGGUUCAAGCCAAAAACUAGUCCUCGAGGAUACCUUGGCCGAGGCAUCUAAUUGAGUCCGCCAAGGUUGUUAAGAUAGUUACAUGUUAAACACAUGUUAGUUUUGAAAACAAGUCGUUCCUUGGCGUUGGCCGAGUUACACAUUCACGUGGGGGUUCGAUGUGAAGUGAGCUCUAACACUACCCCAGGAGUUACCUUUCUCGCCUCUACAACCGAAGUAACUAUAUAAUCGUGUUUACCGUACCCCUCUAAUAGGCAGUCCAUGAAAACCCGUCACUGCAGUGACUAAACCCACCAAUUUUAAUAAAAUUUUGACAAUAUAACGUGGCUUUUAUUUAUUUACCCAGCCUGCAUAGUAAAAAACAGCUUGCAUAAAUUCCCAAUGCAAAUUAUAAAAUAUAGCCACUUAUACUCAUAUAUCAUCAGCUAUUCAUAGGAAAAUAUAUUUUUCAAGACAAUUAACAGCCUCCCAUUUACUCAAUUUCAUAAUCAAAAGUUUCUUAUUUCAGAUAAUCAACAUAAUAUAUUUAUUUGUCACAUUUAUUUCUAAAACAUCAAAAGUCCCAUUUUAAUCUCAUUUUCGUUUCAUAAAAUACAUAAAGAGCAUUUAAAAAUAAACUCUAGAUAAUUUACACUAAUAAUAGGUUUACUCACCGUUUGUACAAAUUAAAUGCUUUCUAGGUGCCCCGAUGUAAAACCCGACUGUAUAAACACAUGUCAUGACAUACAUGCACUGAGUAGCAUGUUAUUAUGCUAGGAAAGCACCUAAGAAUAGACGAAACCCGGUAUCGUACCUAACAGUACUCUUGAGUUGAUUUAACCUCGAACUAGUUCAAAUAGGAAUUGUAGAAUGAAAUUUAAUAUUUUAUAGUCCAAGAAUGACGAAAAAUGAUUGUUCGGAGUUCGAGGGUUCAUUAGGGGUAAAAUUGAAAAUUUUGAUGUUCAUGGGCAAAAAUCGUCAUUUUGCCACCUAAGAUAAUAAUUUGAUCAUGGAGUGAAAUUUUUGACCAAGAUUAACUUUUUGGAGUAUAAUUUAAUGAUAGGAAGUGAAAAUUUUCAAUUUCAGUAAUUUUCGGAACGUAAGGGCAAAACGAUAAUUUUAUCAUCUCGGGGUAAAAACCGUAAUUUUCACCACCCAAAACUUGUCAAAAUCAUAGGAUUUAUUUAUUUUUGGUAUGAACAACUAUGGUACGUUAAGUGGUGAAAAAUUGAAGUUUAAAAGACAAAAUUUUAAAAAUGGGCUAAUGGGAAAGUGACACAUGGCACUUUUUAAUGAUUUAAUAUUAUUUUAAUGAAACGUCAGCCCAUUUAAACCCCAUUUUAAGUGAUGGCCGGCCAUAAGGGAGAACAAGAGAGAAAAUAGAGAGGAAAGGAAGAAAAAAAGAAAAACCAAAGAGAAACAAGAAAAUUCAAAGUGGAAUUCGCAUUUUUCGCCCGUUUAGGCGUCUAACGGUAAGAUUUUUUGCCUUUAGCUUGAUUUCUACCUUUCCUAUGCCUUUGUUUCCAUUUAGCAUGCUUGAGGAGAGAGAUCUAAAAGUGACAUCAAGGGCUGGCUGAAUUUCACGGGAGGAGAAAUUGAAAUUUUUAGGUUUUGAUUUUUAGUUAAAUUGAUAGUUUUAGUUAGUUAAAUGUGUUUAGAAAUUAAAUUGGGCAAGAAAGCAUUAAAUUUUCACAAUACCCACCCUUGGCUGAAUCUGCAAUGAGGUACAAUGAUGAUGAUCUGAUUUUUAUUCUAAGAGAAAUGAAGAGAAAAUGAUGAAAAAUGAUUAAAUGUGAUAGAAAAUCAAAGUAGAAAAUUUACCGAGUUAAUGUCCCAUUUUUGGCCAAAUUUUCCAAGGAGGAAAGUGAACUGAUUUUGGUGAUUUUAGAAGGUUAUUGACUAAUAUUUAAUGGUUAGAAAUGUUGGAGAGAGAAUGGGAUGAUUUAGAGAUAAAAUGGAGCGCGUUAGCAAUUUAUUGGGUAAAGUGCCAAAAAUAGGUUAAUACCGCGUUUAAGCCGUUUUAGGCUAUUGCAUUUCAUACCAUGCAUUAGUAUAGGAUUUAAGUCAAUUAUAUAGUGAUUUAGCAUCAAUGUGGUGAAUUGGGUAAAUUUUGCAAUGUGUCUAGGAGGAGAGCCUUCCGAUAAAGGCAAGGAAGUCGUACCCGACCAACAGUGAUCAGGGCACCUAGGAAGCAUUUCAUCUGUACAAACUGUGAGUAAACCUAUUAUUAUUGUAAAUUAUCUAGAGUUUAUUUUUAAAUGCUCUUUAUGUAUUUUAUGAAACGAAAAUGAGAUUAAAACCAGAUUUUUGAUGUUUUAGAAAUAAAUGUGACAAAUAAAAAUAUAUUGUGUUGAUUAUGAAAUUGAGUAAUUGGAGGCUACCAAUUGUCUUGAAAAAUAUAUUUUCUUGUGAAUGGCUUAUGAUAUAUGAGUAUAUGUGGCUAUAUUUUAUAAUUUCAUUGGGAAUAGAAUGUAAGCUGUCUUUUACUAUGCAGGCUGGAUAAAUAAAUAAAAGCCACGUUAUACUGUCGAAAUUUUAUUAAAAUUUGUGGGUUUAGUCACUGCAGUAACGGGUUUCUGUGGAUUGCCUAUUAGAGGGUCACGGUAAACUCGGUUUCAUAGUUACUCCGGUUGUAGAGGCGAGGAGGGUAACUCUCGAGAUAGUGUUAGAGUUCACUUCACGUCGAACCCCCACGUGAAUGUGUAACUCGGCCAACGCCAAGGAACGACUUGUUUUCAAAACUAUAAUGUGUUUAACAUGUAAAUAUCUUAACAACCUUGGCAGACUCGGUUAGAUGCCUCUGCCAAGGUAUCCCUAAGGACUAGAUUUUGGCAUGAGCCAUGUUUUUAAUAAAAGUUAUAAGCCUUGACAACUGUUUUGGUAAAUUACAAAUGUUUUACGGUUUAAGAAAGAAAUUGAAAACCUUAUGAAAUGGUUUGUGAUUUGUUGUUUAAACUUGCCUCCAUUUUACUUGCCUUUAGAUAUUUAUGAUAAUGCCUGUUUACUCAUUGGGAUUGCAAAAUAUCACCCACCUCCUUUCCAAACUUUCCAGGCCUGUGGUAGCUUUUAGAUAUCCAAUUUUGUCGAGGAUUCCAGUUGACCCCUCUAUCCUACAAACAGUAGGUUACUAUCACCAAUACUGGGUGCAUUUAUGGGCCACUUGUCAUUGUAAUUAUUAUUGUACAUUAUAACUUUGUAAAUUAUUGUAUGUAUGAAUUUAUUUUAUUCUCACACUAAAAAAAUUAUUUAUGUAUAGUUCUAUAAAAAUUGUUUUAUAAGAAAAUAAAAUAUAUUAUCAAAUAUUUUUAUUUAGUUUAAUUAGCCAACUUUUCACUCUAAAUGAAUGAUUUAGAUUACAAAAAUUUAUUUUUAAUUGGCAAUGGAUAUUUUUCUACCAUACGUUGUUUCUUUAUCAGGUUUCAAAAUUUUUUGGUAAAAAUGACCAAAAUACCCCUAUGUGGCAAAAAUUUUAUUUUGAUUGUUUUCGAUCUAAAAAAGUUUAUAUUUUCUUAAAACUCGAUAUUUAACAACGAUUACUCACAGGAAAGGCAAGAAACUGAUUUGCUAGCCUUGCGGGGAUUCGAUUGGCAUUCCGGAUAAUGAGUGUCAAUCGAGACGUCGCGGCGGUUGUCAUGGGCCUGAGGGAGGUUUCGGGUCGUGACACUCGAUUACUGUUCGUCGGGUACGACUUCCUUGCCUAUACCGGAAGGCUCUCCUCCUAGACACAUUGCAAAAAUUACAUAAUUCGCCACAUUGAUGAUAAAUCACUAUAUAACUUACUUAAAUCCUAUGUUAAUGCAUGGUAUGAAAUGCAAUAGCCUAAAAUGGCUUAAACGCGAUAUUAACCUAUUUUUGGCACUUUACCCGAUAAAUUGCUCUAAAUUAAUUUUUUUCAGUUUCUAUACCUCAAAUGCACCCAAAUUGACUUAAUGUCCCCCAGUGUGGUGCAAAUUAUCAGUCUCGGUAGCAAAUUACGAAAAUACCCCUAAUGGGUAAAAAUUCGUAUUUUUGCUCCGAAAAUUCCCAUUAUUUUUCUAGGCUCAUAAUUCAUCAUUAUUCAUCAUAAUUCCUCAAAUAAACAUCAAGAUCAGCAGCCAAUAUUCCCCUGGAAAAUUUGGCAUAAUGGGUUUCAAUGGGAGAAAAUUAUUUCUCUAGCUUAUUUUUGCUAUAUUACAAUAUAACCUAACUAAAAUCACUUAAUUCAAUUAAAAUCAACCAAAACUCAAGCUCAAAACUCAUCCAUGGAGGUUUGGCCAGCAUGGGUGUCCAUACCUACUUUCUAAUUUUGUAUGGAAAUGACAAAAAAUGCAUGGGUAGUGAAAAUCACAAGGAAAAUCAAUGAAAUUUACCUUUUUAAUGCUUGAUUUCUUGAUUUCUCUUGAUUUUCCCCAAAAUUUUCAGCUAGGGUUCUUAUUUAUUUUCCCCCUUUUCUCUCCUGGUUUGGACGGCUUGAAGAAGAUGAGAAUUCUGAAAAUUUUGACCUUUUUGAAGGCUAAAAUAAUAAAAUAUUAUUUUAUUCAUUUUUUUAAUAUUUUAUUAAUUCCUUAAAUUCUAGCCAUCCAUUUGUUUCCAAAUUUUCACCAUACACUUGUCCCACAUAUCCAUAGCUUAGAUAAAAUUCUCAGACUUAUCCAAAGUCUUGGUGGAGUAAUUUUUUAAAUUUACACUUUUGCCCCCGUAAAAGUCAAAAAUUACAUUUUUGCCCCAAAAACUGAAAAAUUGCCCAUAGACAUAUUUUUCAUCCCUUAUACUCAUACCAUUCUCCAAUUUGUCAAAUUUGAUCUAAAUUCUCUCAAAAUCUCAAAUUUUGUCCGUGGGUGGCAAAAUUACGAUUUUGCCCCUACACUCCAAAAAUCACCAGAAUUAAACAUUUUCACUUCCUAUCAUUAAAUUAUACUCCAAAUAGUUAAUCUUGGUCAAAAAUUUCAUUCCAUGAUCAAAUUAUUAUCUUAAGUGGCAAAAUGACGAUUUUGCCCCUAAACAUCAAAAUUUUCAAUUUUUCCCCAAAUGAACCCUUGAACUCCAAGCAAUCAUUUUUAGUCAUUCCUGGACUAUAAAAUAUUAAAUUCCAUCCUACGAUUCCUAUUUGAACUAAUUCGAGGUUAAAUCAACUCAAGUGUACCGUUAGGUACAAUACCGGGUUUCAUCUAUUCUUAGGGACUUUCCUAGCGAAUAACAUGCUACUCAAUGCAUGUAUGUCAUGACAUGUGUUUAUAGGGUUGGGUUUUACAUGGAGGAUUGAGAAAGAAAGUAUUGAAAGUUAGAUAGAUAAUGAUGCAUGUAAAUUAGGAAAUAAUCAAGUGAAAGUGAGAAGGAUUGUUGCUUCCAUAUAUGUGUAUUAUGUGUAGAAAUAUAAGAUGGAUUUGGGCAAAAAUUAUUUAGAAAGGUUGAAGUAGGCACGUGACAUCAUAAAUAAGUUGUCGGUGAUAUAAUACAAGAAAUUUCGUAAGUAAUGGAUAUAAGUAAUUUUGGUAAAAAUGUAUUAAGAUAUGAGUUAAUUGAAGAUGGUUUCAUGAUAGGAUGAAAAAUAUAAAUUUGAGUAAGGAUUAAUUUAUUGAAGUGCUGCCCGUAUACGUAUGUAACUAAAUAUAUUGAGUUCGUAUUACUGCUAGGAAGUGAAAAGAUAAGGUUAGAGAACUGUGGUUGUUGCCAGGUGAGUGAACUUGCAUUUCAAAAUUUGCUUUGGGAAAUGUAAAUGUAUUUGGGUGAAACAUUUGAAUGAUUUUAACUAUCCUUUCUUUAAAAAUGUGUGUCGGGGGACAAGCCCUUGAUAAAAAUGUCUCGAUGUUGUGAAAAUGUGAAUUGUGUAAAAAGAUGAAUCCGUGUGCUCCUAUAUUAUGUUGGUAUGUAUGUAUAUAAAUAUAUGUUGUGCAUUGAUGAAUAAUGAUGAGUUGAUGAUGACCCAGCUAUGUGCGGAUGUAGGGAGUGCACAUGAGCUUAUGAUGACCCCGCUAUGUGCGAGUAGGAAGUGCACAUGAUGAUGAUGAUGAUGAUAUGGAAAUGUGCGAGUAAGGAGUGCACAUGACGAUGAAUGAAGUGGGGUGGUGAACAUGUGUAUAUAUGUUUCUAUAUGUAUAUGUGAUAGAAAGUUUAUGAUUAUAAUAUAUGAUUGAAAUGAAUAAUGAAAACUUAAGUAUUGUCAAUGUGUUCAAUUUAAUGUGUAAUGUGGCAUGAGUGGAUAUUCUAGGUGGCAGUGAAAACCCCUUGGAUUUUAUCUGGCUAGAAUUUUGUUGCAGCGAGAAUGCCUUUUCGCUGCGGUGAGAGUCAAUCUAUUAUGCUUAACUUGCUUGGAUUCUACUAAAGAGUUUUUACUUCUCAACUUCUUUAUUGUUCAUGAGUUUUUUGUCAUCAAGUGACUAAGCGACCAAGGGUUUGAAUAAGGGGUUUUUAGUAAGAAAUUAAUUCAAUUGCAUUGUUUUUGAAACAAGUACAUCAUGUUUUCUAAACCUUCCUUAAUGUUACUUGUUCCCCUUCUAUGUUCACUCACUGAAUUUGUACUCACGUUUUUUUUUAAAUUCAUGUUUUAGGUUUUCUAAGUUAAAGGUGAUUGGAUUCUAGGACGAGGUGCUCUUCCCUAUACAUUGCUCGGUAGGUUUAACGUGCCACUAAGUGUUAUCAAUCGUGCCCAGAGUCACUCUGCUGAUGGUCGAGGUCUAAUUAUGUGUAUAUGGAUAUUUGAUGUGAAAGAUUAAGGUUCAUUUGUUAUUCUAUAUAUGUAUAUAAUGGUUGAUGAUGCCAUUAUGAAUGCAUGACUGGGUUUUAUGAAUUAUUUUCAAAAGAAUUAUAAUUGAGUAUUAAGAAUUUUGGAUUCUAAAGGAAUAUGGAUUAAUGUAUAAGAUCCUGUAAGUAGGCUUGCUUGGGCAUGGUGGGUUGAGCCCAUUGGGGCUUUGAGUCGAUCAUGGUUCGAAAUUUGGGUUGUGACAAAGUUGGUAUCAGAGCUCUGGGUUUAGUUGAAUCCUAGGGAUUCCUGUGUGGUCAGCGGAGUUGUUGGAGUCCGUGUAAAGUCUUGUCCUUGGAUUGUGGGUGCGCAAUGUAAAUCAAGGACAAGGGGCUACAUGGGCCCCUACUUCAUUAGAAACCUACCUAUUUUUAUGAUGUAUAGAUGGAUGAGUAAUCAAUACUUGGUUGCGUAUAGGUGGACGUGCGUCGGUUGCACAUGCCACGUCUAGAAAAGACGGUAGUCUCGAUACCCCUUAUAGUACCUAGCAAAGGAUCGCUAGAUUCCACUGCUCGGAGCCGAUAUGUGCCCGAGGGUGAAAACGUAACAAGUAACCUGACCCGAUUUUUGAGUGGAUCGGUUUCCCUGAGAGGUAAACCAUUAUUUAAAAGCCUGGGUAGUCUUGCAAGAUUGGUGUGUAAUGAAAUCGACCAGACAAAAAAGAACACGAACAAGAUUAGAAAAAGGACGAUCAGUAAUUAUUGUCCUAGGAAAGUAUCUGUAUCUGUUGUUCGACACUUCCCUUCUGAUUGUGGGAGAGGUGCUGCACCUGUUAGUAAGGAGGAAUUUCGAAGGUAGCAACAAGCUCGGAUUAAGGAUAAAAUGGAAAAAUCCCAAGAGAUGGGAAAGGACCCGAAAAAGGAUCCAUCGAAGUGCCUGGAUCGAGGCGACGAGGAUCCUAAAGACACAUAAUAUUUUGGUUAAAGUUCGUAUCACUUUAAGUCUAGACAGAUGCGGUGUAAGGGAAAUAGUAGUAGUUAUCUAUACAAAGGAGUUAAGAGUUGGCUUUUAUUUUGUAUGACUUAAAUGGAUUAUGAAGUAGUUGUUUUAAUGACUUGAUUCGUAUUGGAGUCCUUUGAUACGAUAGAGAUAUAUUAGAGAUAUAAUGAUUGAGGGAGGAUAUUCAACUUCGUGGCGUCGUUGGUCACCUUGGAUAAUUAUUAAGGAUCGACGUAGAAAGUCAUUAAUGGUACAAACAACUACGAGACCUGACAAAAGAUUACCAAUUAAUCGUGGAAAGGUGAAAUUUGAAAUCCUAGUUGCAAUUACAAUUUGGAAGGAUAUGGGAGAAAUCAAUGACGAUAUAGGUGACACUUAGAAUGGAUGAUGUGAUUAAGUCAAGGAUUGUAAAAUUUAAGUUUGAAAGGAUUUACAAAAUGAUGCCAUGAUAUUAUGAGGUAAUAAUUGGGCACAAAUAUGAAACUUGGGAAAAGGUGAAACAUUGAUUUAAUAAAGAUUGUGAAUGUAGAGCGUGGAGAAAGAUGAACUAUUUUCAUGGUCAUUUGUACUGAAAGUCAAGAAAACUAUUUGAGUUACAUGACAAGAAAAACAAUUAAUUGUGAAUGUUAAGGAAUUAUAGAAUGUCAUAAAUGGUGAAUAAUUUUGUGUGUGGUAUUAUAUACUGAGAAUUUGAUGCACAAUAUGGCAAGAUUGUCCUAAGGUGGGACUUAUUGGUUGAAGAUAAAUGUUAAAGGAUAAAAUGAGUUUGAAAAAAUUGACUCUACUUAGUGCAUAUUAUAAGCAAAAGAAAAGAUAUGCAUGGUCAUGAAAAUGUGGGAUAGGCCUGGAGGAAAGCCAAAUGGUUGAGCAUGAUCCCUGUAGUAACUUUAAAGAUGGAAGAACUUAUUCAUGGAAGAAAUUUCUAGUAGCCACAGUGCUACAGCACUAACUCUUUAGUGCUGCAGCGUUGGAACUAUUCCAUGUCCAGCAACCGCGACGCUGCAGCACUGACUGUCCAGCGUCGCAGCGCUAGGGACACUUCAUGUCUUGGAUGCAUGAGGAAGAUGGGAGUUUUAAAUGUUCUAGAGAAUGUUUACAUGAAGGAAUUGAAAAGUUUUUUUAUUGCCUUGUUUAGGGGUAUAUAAAGAAAAAAAAAAGGAAGUUGAAAGAUUCUUGAGAUGACUACAUUGAGAUAAGAUACCAUGUGAAGUAUUAGGAUGAAUAAUAUGUUGACCAAUGUCAAAUUCUAAGAAAUAAGGGAGAUGAGAGAUUAAGCCUUGUUAAAGGCUAAGGAAAAAGUGAGCGAAGAGUUAGAUGAAUAUAUGAGAGAUGGGUAAGGGAUGUCAAUACCAAGUAAUGAAAGUGUGAAUGAAGGAUUACAAGAGUGGUAUAGCAAAUGGGAUUAUCCAGAAUAUCGUUAUGAGAAUUUUCAAUUCUUAUCUUGAAGCAGCUAAAUGAAAAGGAAUAGUAAUAAUGCAAGGCUAAUUAUGUGGCACACUAGAAACCUAUGAAGACAAUUUGAAGAUUGAAUGGACGAGUACGUAUUUAUAUAUCUUUAAGAAUAAGUGCAUACCUAUAGAAUGACAUGCUCGGGAUGUUAAGGAGCACAUAAGAGACUAAGUGUUUCGGGAAUGCACAAACCUUUUUGAGAAGGAAUUACCAAUCAUACACAGCAAGUAUAAAAUGUGGGAUUUUUGAAACUUGAUGAGGAGCCUAACGGCUAAGUCACGAUUUAAGUGAUCACAUGCGGUGAAACGUGAGUUUAAGAUAAGUAUCACCAAGGAAAUACUCAAGAGUAGUUCUGUUGUGGAUCUUGUGAAAGCAAGCAUUAAGUUAUGUGGUUACAAAGAAAAAGUCAUAAGCUGAAAGUGAGAUUCAUAUUGACGUUGAAAAGUACUUAAGGAGAACCUUGUUUCAAGUCUUGUAGUUUCAAAUACAAACUGCAGAUUGGUCCGGGCAAAAUGAUGUCAUAUUAGUAUGAAAGAAUAGAACAAAGGAUGAUCGAAGAGAAUUUGGAUAAUGAAGUCCAAUAAUGAAAACUUCUUAAGGUAGUAUGGAAUUGGAAUUCAAAAAUGCUUAAGGCAUGCACGAUUCAAAUGAGUUUAAGUUUUAAGUGAUUCAUUAAAGUUGAAAUGCAACAAGGAUAUAAUGUAUAAGAAUAAUUGAGAAACAAGGAUGACUUUUAGAGAUUGUGGUAUUGCAUAAGAUGCAAUGAUAAUAAAGAUAAACCUUUGAAAGAUCAACGAGAUUAUAAAGCAUAUACGAAUACCGAAUUACAAUUUAAUGCAAAUGACAUUUAGCAAGUGAGAUGUGAUUAAUGACAUUGUGAUGCAAGGAUAAAUAGUAUGGUGAAACUCAAGCAUAUAAUUGGAAAUGAUAUGAACGAUAUGAAGUUGUGCAUAGGCAUAACAAGAAUGUUGACCUGCACUAUGAGGAUUAUUAUAUUGAAUCUUGGAUAGGGAUAGAGAUGAAUUAAGGAAAAUGUAGUCCAAGGCACGUGAACACAUGGAUCCCUAUGCGUAACAAGGGAUAUUGACAUUUGAAAAUGCAUGUACACAUGUAUAUGUGAAACUGGUGACUUGACUAACUAAGGUGAAGAAUUGUUCUCAGUAAUUGGAGAUUUGAACUUCAUGUAUUGAUGAGUUGUAUAAAUAGUACAACGGCAAGAAGUCCCAAUAGAAGUUGAACUAUGAUGAUAUAAGAAAUUUUAGAAAAGAUAAUCAGAGAAUGGGAUUAAAGAAAUGUAGUCCAUAGCGAGGGAAUAAUUGAAGUAUAUGGUGUAAAUGCAAGACAAACCUGAAGUAUGUAGAAAUAAUUGAAGGCAUUAGCCUUUCUCAACAUUGAGACUAUGUACAAAAAUAAAUAUGGCAUGUUUAUAAUGUUAUAGGCUACAUAAUAGUGUAUGGGGAUAAGAUGAAUGAAUGAAUGUCGAGAACCUUGGCAAGGAGAGAAACAAUAAAAUGGUGAUUAAGUAUACAUAAGUAUAAUAUGUGAUCAAAAUCGGUAUGAUUGAGAUGGAGUAUGGUUCAAAUUUAAUGAUGGUGAUAGAGGCAUGCUUGGAGUCUCAAUAUAAGAUAUUAUGAUUGUGAAGGGUACUGCUGAUCUGAUUCUAAAGGAUAAUAAUAGACAUAAGUGAAGUAUUCAAGUUGAACUUGAGGUAAACGAGGUGAAUAGAUCGAAAUUCCCUAUAAAAAGAGAAAUGGAAUAAGAUCAUGGUGUGAGAUUGAUAACUCGACAUCGACAUGAAUUCAAGGACGAAUUCUAGUUAAGUGGGGGAGACUAUUGUCAUGACCCGGUACAACCUUCGAGCCCGUGACAACCGUCGCGGUGUCUCGAUCAACACUCAUUACCCGGAAUGUCAACUAGAACCCCGCAAGGCUUUAAUAUCAGUUUCUCAUUUCCCUUGUGAGUAACCGUUGCCAAAUAUCAUGUUCUAAAAGAUUUUAAGCUAUUUCCAACUUAAAUCAAUAACAAAAAUGAUUUCUGUCUCAUAGGGGCAUUUUGGUCAUUUUUCCUAAAAAAUCUCGAAACUAGCUAAAAAUGUAGUAUGCAAGUGGAAAACACAUAUUUCAUAAUAAAAAAUAAGUUUAGAUUUCUAAAACAUUCAUUGAAAGUGAAAUUAUAACUAUUUGAAUAUAAUAAAAAUAUUCAAUAAAAUAUUCUAUUUUCUUAUAAAACAACAUUUAUAGAGUUAUCGAUAAAUAAUUUUUUGUAGUGUAAAAGCUAAAUAAAUUCAUACAUACUGUAAUACAGAUAACCAAAGUAUAAAAUUUAAUUUACAAUGACACAUGGGCCCACGAACGAUCAAAAGUAUCAAAAGCGGUAAACCUACAGUUUUUAAGGAUGCAAGUCAAACUGUAGCCCUCAACAAAGUGAGCUAUCUACCAACUAUCCUGAGCCUAAAAUGGGUGGAAAGGAGGGUGGUGAGAUUAUAUAAUCCCAAUGAGUAAACAAAUACCAUCUACAAUAUCUAAAACUGAGUAAAUGGAGAUAGAUAAAAUAGAUUAGCAUAAAAAUAAUUCUCAGCAUUUUGAACUCAUUUUAAUAAGAUAAAAUAGAUUCAUUUUACCAAAAAAAACAACGAGGCUUAUGAUUUCUUGAAAAGUUUGGCUCGUGCCAAAAUAAUUCUCAUACUUAGUUAUCAGGGAUGCCUUGGCCAAGGGCUAUCCCAACCGAGUCCUCCAAGGCUGUUAAAAAGUUAUGUAUGCAUAAAUCAUGUUUUUAUUUUGAAAACAUAGUCAUUCCUUGGCGUUGGCUGAGUUCACCCUCACGUGGUGGUUUAGAGUGAAGUGAACUCUAAAGUCUUAACCUUAGGAGUUAUCCAACCGCGCCUCUCAUACUGAGGUAUGGAUAUAAUAGGGUUACCAUGCCCCUCUAAUAGGAUGGUCCACAGAACUCGUCCACUGCAAUGACCAAUUAUAACCCACCAAUUCAAUAAAAUUCAACAGCAUGACAUGACAAUUAUUUUAUUUUACAGCCUCUCAAGGCAAAUCAAUAAUUCAUACUUUUUCAGCACAUUUACCAAAUCCAACCAUUCAUGCCAAUAUUAUCAUAAGCCAUUCAAUUUAAACCAUGAUUUAUAACGCAACAAUUAGUCUCCAAAUACUCCAUUUUCAAAACAUCUUUCAAUUUCAAGUCAAUUUUAUAAAAUCAUUUCAUUUAAUCACAUUUUGUCUAUAAAACAUAAAGAUUUACCAUUUAAACUCAUUUUCCAUAAAAUCACAAAAAUGAAUAAAAACUACUUUAGAUAAUUAAGACGAUAAUAAGGUUACUCACUGUAAUAGAAAUCAAGUUCCGAGUACUUUGAUUCUUGAUCCUCAAGUACUAUCUCUUUACUUUUGCCAGAAUGCUCACCAUCUAGACAUAAUGCACAAUAAGCCAUUUACUACAUUUGUGCUAAAUUGUUAUAAAACCAAUUCAGGCUUUAUACUAAUGCAUGAAAUGGGAUGUAAAUUGUUCAGAUUAUCGUCUAAACAUGGUGUUCUACACAAAUUCAAUUGUGUACCUAAAUAAAAUGAUAUUGGCCUAAUUCAAUCUAUCACUCGAUUAAUUGGUCAAUAUGUCCAAUUCAACUCCAAUAAUUCCAUUUUUCUUCCAAUUCUCCAAACCAUCAAACAUAAGUUAAAUAACUUAAAAUAUGACAAAAUCAUCCUCACAUUUUCUCUUGGAAAAUUCGGCCAUGGUUGGUGCAUCAACACUAUAAUUUUUCAAGCUUGGUUCUCACACCAUAAAUCACUAAUUCCUAACCAAAUCACUUGAAAUAAAAUCAAAAUCAUCAUCAAUAUUCUACAUGGAGAAUUCGGCCAAUAAUGGGUGAUGGGAGGAAGGGAAUUUUUCUUGUUGGCUUUUCAUACUACACAUCACUAACUAACUAAAAACAAUAGAAUAUCUUAAAAUCUAACCAAAACAACCAUCAAAAUCUCUCUCUAAGUGUUCAGCCAGCAAGUGACCCAUCAUGAUUUCAUGUGAUUCAACCAUGGAAAAUAAGAAAAAAUGCUAAAGAAAGAGAGAUCUCAAGCUUAAUUGAAAAAUCUUACCUUUUUUUCACUUGUUUCCUUUAAUUUUCACACUUUUCCCUUGAAUUUUUCCACCUAGGGUUUUGUUCUUCCUUUUCUUCCUUUGUUCUUGCUUUGGUCGGCCAUAAGAAUGAGAAAUGGGCUGGUUUUGUGCUAAUUUAUGAGGAAAAUAAUAAAUGGAUAAAAAUUUGCCAUGUGUCACCAUUCCAUUGGUUCAUGUAUCAUACUUAUCCAUAAAGCAAUCUCUCUCCACCAUAUAAAUUUCCUCAAUUACCCAUGAUAAUAUUGGAAAAAAUCCAUGUGCUGGACAAGUGUUGGGUGGUGUAAAAUUACAAUUUUGCCCUCGGGUAGCAAAAUGACUAUUUUACCCCUAUGCUCGGAAAAAUGUCAAAAUUAAAAUUUUUCACUUCUCAAACUCAAAUUAUACUCCAAAUGAUCAAUCUUAGUAAAAAAUUUCAUCCAACACUCACAUCUUAACCUUGGGUAGCAAAAUGACCAUUUUGCCCCUAGGUCAUGAAAAUUCCAAUUUGAUUUCAAAUCGAUCCUCGAACUUCGAAUCACCAUUUUAAGUCUUUUUGGGGUUUUAAAAUUCUCAAUUUCAUCUUAAAAUCUCUAUUUGGACUAGUUUGAGGCUUAAAUCAACUUAGUUGUACCAUUUGGUACAUUGUCGUCCUUUAACGAUUUUCGAGAUACCCAAGUAAGCAAACAUGCAUUCUUAUGUAGGAAUGGCAUAAUAAACAUUGCAGAGCCGGGCUUGACGACUAUAAUACCCUGUACUUUGAUAUGGUGACUAAUAAAGCUUAUUGGAUGCCAAUUGAGGUUAAUUAUAAUGUUUAGAAAUGAUGAAAGAUGAAAGGAAUAGUUUAGGAUAAAAUAUUUUGCACAGGAGGAAAUAAUAAUAUUUUUAUCAGAGAAGAAUUUACGAGAUAAACAGUGAUUAGGAAGUCAGUUGAGGCAUAAUAAGGUAUUUUGGGUACCAAGGGGACAAGAGGAGACAAGAUGAAAUUUUUGAAAUAAAAUAAUAUUAAAAUAUUAAUAUUUUAUUCAGUGUCAAAAUUUUCCAUGAAGAAUGAGUUUAUGGUCAAUCUAAGUGGGGGAAAAGAAGAAUGAGACAAUUUUGGAGAAAGAUGACGUUAAUGGGGCCACGUGUCUUUAUUAAGUAAAGACAACGCAGGCAAAUAAAUAUUUUAAAUAUUAUGGGGACACCGUCUUGGAGUACAAACUUCAUACUUUGUUUGUACAUGUGUAGAAGAAGGUAAUAGAAGGAGAUUGGAGUUAAAUGAGUGUUGGGAGGACUAAAUUAAAAUGGAAGGAAACAAAAAGGGCAAAACGGUAAUUUUAUGUGAAGUUUGGUCAAAGCUUCUAAAGGAAGCUUUGACUCUAUUUUUUUAAGCCAAGACUAACCUUAUCCUUUCCCCCACCAGAUUUUUCUUCUUCUUCAUCCAUGCUCCACGCCAUUCUUGAAGCUUCCAUGCCAUUUUCUCUUUAUCCACCAUCAAAUCAAGUUUUCUUCACUUUCCUUUCCAUGUUUUCUUUUCCUUCCUUCUCCAAACUUCUUGAGCACUAAAUUUACAACCUUUAACCCCAAUUUCCAGCACAUCUAAACCCUAAGAGGAGAAGAAAGAAAAAGAGAGAAAGGAAGAAAUAGCUUGGUUUUGGUGAUUCAAGCAACGAACGGUAAGAAUUCUUGUUUUUGGCUUCAGUAGUCUUUGGAAAUGAGUUAGUGACUUAGAGAAAUAUCUUGUGGUAGCAAAGAUUGGCUUGAUUGGUGAAAAAUUGAUAACAUGUAAGCCAAUAAACCCAUGGGUACAUGAAGGACUCAAAGUGGAAAAGGAAAAUGGUAAGCUUAACACUAUGUUUUAAAGCCUAUGGUUAGUUGAAUAUUGUGAGGAAUUAUGGUUGUUGAAAGGAUUUAUUUGCCUAAGGUAGUUGAAAAUUAUUAAGAUUGCAUGGCGUGUUGUUUGAAAGAAAUGAAAAUGGAAUAUUAUAGAUGGAGGAUUGAGAAACAAAGUAUUGAAAGUUAGAUAGAUAACGAUGCAUGUAAAGUAGAAAAUAAUCGAGUGAAAGUGAGAAUGAUUGUUACUGCCAUAUAAGUGGAUUAUGUGUGGAAAUAUAAGAUGGAUUUGGGCAGAAAUUAUUUAGAAAGGUUGAAGUAGGCACGUGACAUCAUAAAUAAGUUACCGGUGAUAUAAUCUAAGGAAUUUCCUAAGCAAUGGAUAUAAGUAAUUUUGGUAAAAAUGUAUUAAGAUUGAGUUAAUUGAAGAUGAUUUCAUGAUAGGAUGAAAAAUAUAAAUUUGAGUAAGGAUUAAUUGAUUGAAGUACUGCCCGUAUACAUAUGUAAUUAAAUAUAUUGAGUUCGUAUUAUUGCUAGGAAGUGCAAAGAUAAGGUUAGAGAACUGUGGUGGCGUGCCAGAGUAAAUAACGAGUGACCGGCAAGUGAAAAUAGUUAGAGACAGCUCCAAACAAAUAGCGACUUAAUAUCUCGUUGUUGCUAGGUGAGUGAAAUUGCAUUUCAAAAUUUGCUUUAGGAAAUGUAAAUGUAUUUGGGUGAAACAUUUGAAUGAUUUUAUCUAUCCUUUCUUUAAAAAUGUGUGCCGAGGGACAAGCCCUUGUUAAAAAUGUCUCGAUGUUGUGAAAAUGUGAAAUGUGUAAAAGGAUGAAUCUGUGUGCUCCUAUAUUAUAUUGGUAUGUAUGUAUAGAAAUAUAUGUUGUGCAUUGAUGAAUAAUGAUGAGCUGAUGAUGACCCAACUAUGUGCGGAUGUAGGGAGUGCAAAUGAGCUAAUGAUGACCC
rnacentral:lncRNA from 1 species